rnacentral:rRNA from 1 species
GAUGAACGCUAGCGGCAGGCUUAACACAUGCAAGUCGAGGGGUAUAGUUCUUCGGAAUUAGAGACCGGCGCACGGGUGCGUAACGCGUAUGCAAUCUACCUUUUGCAGAGGGAUAGCCCAGAGAAAUUUGGAUUAAUACCUCAUAGUAUAGUACUUUGGCAUCAAGGAACUAUUAAAGUCACAACGGCAAAGAUGAGCAUGCGUCCCAUUAGCUAGUUGGUAAGGUAACGGCUUACCAAGGCUACGAUGGGUAGGGGUCCGUGAGAGGGAGAUCCCCACCACUGGUACUGAGACACGGACCAGACUCCUACGGGAGGGCAGCAGUGAGGAAUAUUGGACGAAUGGGCGGCAAGACCUGAUCCAGCCACUGCCGCGUGCAGGAGUGACGGU